CAGGACGUGUGCUCCGGGCAUGUGCUGACCAACCAACAUGUCCCUGAUUGAGUCUGUAAUACCAACAUGUUUCAAGCAGACCACCAUAGUCCCGGUGCCCUAGAACACAAAUACAACCUGCCUAAAUGACUACAGACCCGUAGCACUCAUGUCCGUAGCCAUGAAGUGCUUUGAAAGGCUGAGGCAUAUGGACCAAACCCCAUCGAGUUGACGAUAGUCAACUGACAUUGUGUUCAGAGGGAUCCUACUCGGUGCCAUGAGGAGACUGCAGCAGACCAAUGCAGACUUCAAGUUUACCUACACAGAGGACCUCAACUAUGGUCCUUUCCUGGAGAGUGUGAAUGGUGUUGCCGGGGACAAUGCUGAGCACACUUACUGGGAGCUCCUUGUUCAGACUGGGAAGAAUGGACCUGUGGUCAGACCUGAUGUGGGUAUUGGUUGUUACAUCCCAGAACCAAAUGACUGCAUCAUUCUGAAUUUUACAAAAAAUUGUGAACAUUCAGAAGCGCCUGACUGAUACUGUUUUGUUUUAAAAAGUGCUGUAAAGCAAUUUAUUAUUUUUGUCAUGAAAGGAAUAACGAUUAUAAUCAUUUGCAGUACACUAUUAGAAAAAAGGGUUGCAAAGGGUUCUCCAGCUAUUCCCAUAGGGGAACCCUUUUUGGUUCCAGGUAGAACUCUUUAGGGUUCCAUGUAGAACCCUCUGUGGAAAGGUUUUUACAUGGAACCCAGAAGGGUUCUACCUGGAACCAAACCGGUUCUACCUGGAACAAAAGUUUUUUUACAAAGGGUUCUCCUAUAUGAACAGCUGAAUAACCCUUUUUGGUUCUAGGUGGCUCCUUUUAUUUCUAAGAAAGUAAUGUUAAGCCCGUUUUUAGAAUUUAAAUUGAAAGCUUUUCACCCUGACAUAAUUCUGUUAUUGUUGUUUUAAAAGAACAUUUGGAACAGAAAAUAAUGGCCGGCUACAGUUUACAUCCCUCAGCCUAUACCAGAACUAUUGUAACAUUACAUUAUGUAUGUAAUUACUGUGUAAUAGGUUAGUAAAGCACCUGUAUCUAUGGAGUACAAUGUG